rnacentral:rRNA from 1 species
CCUACGGGAGGCAGCAGUGAGGAAUAUUGGUCAAUGGACGCAAGUCUGAACCAGCCAAGCAGCGUGCGGGAUGACGGCUCUAUGGGUUGUAAACUGCUUUUGUACGAGGGUAAAACCCGAUACGCGUGUCUGUCUGCAAGUAUCGUACGAAUAAGGAUCGGCUAACUCCGUGCCAGCAGCCGCGGUAAUACGGAGGAUUCGAGCGUUAUCCGGAUUUAUUGGGUUUAAAGGGUGCGUAGGCGGGCGGAUAAGUUAGCGGUGAAAUCCCGCGGCUCAACCGCGGACUUGCAUCUGAUACUGUACGGCUAGAGAGUAGUUGCGGUAGGCGGAAUGCAUGGUGUAGCGGUGAAAUGCAUAGAGAUCA